rnacentral:rRNA from 1 species
UGUAGCCGGUCCCAAGGGUAUGGCUGUUCGCCAUUUAAAGAGGUACGUGAGCUGGGGUUUAAACGUCGUGAGACAGUUUGGUCCCUAUCUGCCGUGGGCGUUGGAUACUUGACGGAGCCUGCUCCUAGUACGAGAGGACCGGAGUGGACGUACCUCUGGUGUACCGGUUGUCAUGCCAAUGGCAUUGCCGGGUAGCUAAGUACGGAAGAGAUAACCGCUGAAGGCAUCUAAGCGGGAAACUCGUCUGAAGAUUAGGUAUCCCGGGGACUUGAUCCCCCUAAAGAGUCGUUCGAGACCAGGACGUUGAUAGGUCGGGUGUGGAAGCGCAGUAAUGCGUUAAGCUAACCGAUACUAAUUGCUCGUGAGGCUUGAUCCUAUAACACUGAUGGUUAUG